AUAGGAGGCGAUCCAUAAAUCUGCGAACGGCUCCGUAUAUCUGUUAUCACCCACGGCCACUAAAAAGAUCUCGGAUACCCACGGUAAUUCUGAGGCUAAUACGUAUACGUAGCUUGGGCCUCCAGGACAGGGCGCCCUCCGCAAGGGGGGCGCCUGGGCUAGUCGCUUGUUGCCGGGGGGUCCCGCAAGGGGUCCGCUGUCAUGAUGGCAGGCUAGUGCACCACACUGCGGGGGCGAUAUGUCCCGUAGGGUGCGCCAAGGGAGCCAGCCCUAUUAACUAGGUGUCCGGGUAAGGCCCGGCCGCGGUGAUAACGGGUACAGAGGAUCAGGGUUCGGUCCUGGAGAGGAAGCCUGAGAGAUCGCUUCUACUUCUAAGGAAGGCAGCAGGCGCGCAACGUUCCCAAUGGGGAUACCCUGAGGACGUGAGGGGAUAUAGCAAUGCCCCGCCCAUAAAGCGGGGCAAUUGCAAUGGGGGUCCACUAAACCCUCCACCGAGUAACAAUUGGAGGACAAGUCUGGUGCCAGCACCCGCG
rnacentral:rRNA from 1 species